AGUUUUUGACAAUGGGGGAAACCCUGAUCCAGCCAUCCCGCGUGUAUGAUGAAGGCCUUCGGGUUGUAAAGUACGUUUGGCAGAGCCGAAAAGUUAUCUCCUAAUACGAGAUACUGCUGACGGUAUCUGCCGCAUAAGCACCGGCUAACUACGUUCCAGCAGCCGCGGUAAUACGUACGGUGCAAGCAUUAAUCGGAAUUACUGGGCGUAAAGCGUGUGUAGGCGGUUCGGAAAGAAAGAUGUGGAAUCCCAGGGCUCAACCUUGGAACUGCAUUUUUAACUGCCGAGCUAGAGUAUGUCAGAGGGGGGUAGAAUUCCACGUGUAGCAGUGAAAUGCGUAGAUAUGUGGAGGAAUACCGAUGGCGAAGGCAGCCCCCUGGGAUAAUACUGACGCUCAGACACGAAAGCGUGGGGAGCAAACA
rnacentral:rRNA from 1 species